rfam:Aspergillus clavatus NRRL 1 1099423829804 genomic scaffold, whole genome shotgun sequence.
GGUCCCAUGGUCUAGUGGUUAUGACUUCGGAUUUUGACUUGUGUUAGUUUUCCGGCAACUCGGGUUCGAUUCCCGAUGGGACCU